rnacentral:rRNA from 1 species
UACGGAGGGUGCAAGCGUUAUCCGGAUUUACUGGGUUUAAAGGGUGCGUAGGCGGAUAGGUAAGUCAGGGGUGAAAUCUCGAGCUUAACUCGGAAACUGCCGUUGAUACUAUUAUCUUGAAUAUUGUGGAGGUAAGCGGAAUAUGUCAUGUAGCGGUGAAAUGCUUAGAUAUGACAUAGAACACCCAAUUGCGAAGGCAGCUUACUACACAACGAUUGACGCUGAGGCACGAAAGCGUGGGGAUCAAACAGG